GGAAGUUGCCGAGAAAGUUGCUGCUCGGCGGGAGGAGCCCAACUUGGCCGCGGCCCCGAUCCUCUGCCCCCGAGUUGGUCGGCUUUGCUCGUCUCGGGCUUCGGGUGUGCCGUCGCCGCAGGAGGAAGCAGCUGCAUUCCUGCGUUCCCCACCAAAGGUCGCUUCUUCGCGGCCCCCGUAACGGGCUGCGCCGUUUCCUCGUGCCCCGCUGAGUCGCUUCGGCCAGCCGCCGGGUUUGGAGCCUUUGGAGGAAGCUUCCUCCCCGCCUCACCACCCAAGUUCUUUCCCCCCGGAAUGGCCGAAGAAGUCCGGCAAAGGCGGCUGGCGUGGAAGUACGGGAGCCGCUGGAGCGGAGAUCUUCUGCCCUCCGCCGCGUUUUGAUUCCCUUUUCGGAAGGGCGCCGUUCUGCCUCCCCUUCCAGCUUCCUGCAUUUCUGCUGGGGUGGCGAGGCCGGCUCUGGACAUGUUUGUUUGCUCAAAGACAACCGGUAAACAGGGACUGCUUAAUUGGGACAGGCACGCAUCCUUCAGCGGCUUUUUCCUUUGGGGUUGGGUGGCUUUUUAGAACGUGUCGCAGCGAAUGCACCGAACGAGCGGAGCUUUCUCGGUAUUUUAGAUGCUAGCUAACAGAUUAAAACUGUACGUAUUUAAUUCGAGACAUUCUGCAACCACUAUUCGUGUGUAUGUAAUAACAAGCAUGCAUAAUGGUGAAUGUAUCCGUAGGAGGCGUGCGGAGGUGCCGUGUCUGCCUUGCAGAUAUUUAUGUGACCGCUUUCGGGUACUUGGUACUUUUGUUUUCUCUUUGUUUUAGUUUGAUGGCAAAAUGGUUUUUUUAAAAAUAAUUAAUUUUUCUAGAAAUGAGAGUGCUGGACGCUCCUGGGUGCAUUUUUUCAGUUUGUCAACUACAGUUUGUGCCCCUCAUCCCUGGGGAAGGAAAUCCCAAUUGAUGAUCAAUCUGUGUAGCAGGAAUGCCUCCUACUACUCUUGGCAUUUGAGCUCUGCAGAAAAGCGACAGGGAUGGGGGCCAAACCAAAGUGCUUGGGUUUCUACUAAGGCAGCAAGAGAACAUCUGGGGAGGUGUAGGGUGUUUAAUCUUGCUGCAAAUAGUGUCUUAUCCAGAGAUCAUGGGCAGCUCUUCCAUCCCCAGUUUGUCUGUAUGUGCCUCAGCCCAGCUAGCUGGCUUGUGUACUGCAGUCCUUCCAUCUCCUUUCACAUGUGGAUUCUAUCAGUGUAAACAUGCCAAAGCACAUCUGUCUGUACAAUUAAUACGAUGAUCCAAGCAUCAUUCUUUAAUUGGCUUUCUCAGCUGUUCGCCCCCCCCCCUUGCAGUCUUGUUCUGCUCUGAUUUCCAGAUCUAAGUUGCCCUAAAUAGAAGGCUGCUUUUACCACUAAGGCAGAAGAAGGGUUAAUAUGCAGUAGCAGAAGAGUGGUGUGCUCUGGGGCAUUUUUAGCUGCCUCUGGAAAAGGUGUAGGGGAGAUAAUCAAAACCUGGCUAACUAUGGGCUUAAGCUUUGGCAGGUGCCAGAAGUAGAGGUGGAUGAACAGCUCUGACUUCGAGGCAGGAUGGAAGAAAUUGGAAGCUUUCUUCUUCCUAACGCAGAAGAGAACAAAAUUGCCCAAAAUGAUGUGGGCUCACUAGUAUCUCAGAGAUCAAAUAGAGGUGCUUGAUACACCUUGUGAACUGCUGUAUUUUUUUGAAGUUUUUGCCAGAUGGGUAUUAAAUUAAAAAAUACUCUUAUUAAUAGAGAAAUGUUCGUGGGUGAGCAGACAGCUUACUAUAACUGCUGUGAACAACUGAACACAUACAUUCAGAGAAAAUGUGGCGUUAACACUGGAAAAAGGCACAUUGUAAGACCCCCCCAAAAUUAAAUAUUUGCCUAAAGAAAAAUAAAAGAAAUGACAAACUUUUCUUUUGUGAAAUGGCUACAUAGGUAGGAGCACCUUGUGAAAACCAGCAAGUUUAUUUAGCUUUUUUUGUCUCUUAAGACAAAAGUGCUGGAAAUAGAAUAGGUGAGGUGGGGAUUCUUGCUGUAAGGCAUUUGGUCUGCCAAGCACUGAUUUGGCUGAAUAUAGUCCCCCUCUGUAAACUGAAGUAGGAGAUCCAUAAAAGUCCCAAACAUGGAUGAGACUGACUCUUCACUCUAAACUGAGUUAUACAAAGAGAUCAAACGGUAAAAAUUGAAGUAAGUUGUGGAAUAAAAGCUAUUGGAAAUGCUGCACUGUUGUGGUAUUUUCAGAAGUAGGACUGCUCCCCCCCCCCCGGCAUCUGAAUUAAACUGGGGAGAAGUACACUUAAGCCAGAGGUUACAGGAUUGAAAGUUCCAUUGGCUCAACUUGCCUAUUGCCUUGAGCCAUGGUAAAGUUAUACUGCCUUGGGGUCAAUGGACUUGAGCUUCUUUUCUAAGAUGUAACCUUCCUUGCUGGAAGACACCUCAGGGUAUGUACAGUAAUUUUGUUGUUGUUGCUUGAAAAUGUAGCAAAGGAGCGAGAAUGCAGCUUGCAAAAGUAAACACAUCUAAUGCUGUGAAAAUGUGGGUCAACUUAGAUGUAUAGCCACUAAGCUAGCAAUAUAAAGUUCCUAACAGUUGCUGCUAAACAAGUGUUAGGCAUGGUACUAGUAAACUAUUUGAAGGUACCGUAUUUAUCAGAAUUCCCAUUCUCUCUGCUCCUUUGCAAUGGAUAUGUGCAAUCAACACCUAAUACCAGGAGUAUGCAGCCUUCUCAGCAUUUCUUUUCCUAAUUUAGCUGCACAGUCUAUAAAUGCUUUGACUGUAUUUUGAUUUGGAAAUUUUCUUGUUUGAACAAAAUCAACUCCACAGCACAGGGGAGGAAAAGGAAAUGGCUGCUGUUAAAUAAGUAGAGCUGAUGUAUUAAUGUGAGGGCUUCACAGAUCAGAAACUCUUGAGGGCUGCUUCCCUCUACAUGGCAAGUCAAAGCAGCCUCUGGGGCUGAGAUGCAGAAAUGCCACUGGGAUCUUAAGAAGGGAGCCAGAGAGAUGGACUGUUGCAAAGCUCCUCAAACCAGAAGGCUGAUUUAUAUCAGCAAGUGUGUUAUUGCUUAAAGGGUUGUGACUCGGGAUCUGCCUUUUUGUACAGAAAGACAGCAGAAGACCUGUUUACAUUUCUUCUCGAGAGAAGUUUUCUCUAGCCUCUUCAAACAGACUUUUUUCUUCAUGAACACCCUAUCCUUCCCCCCCCCCCCCCGCACAUAGUAUCGUAGUCAAUAAGAAUGGGUGGCUACCAGUGAAUUAAGUUACGCCUCACCUUUCUAUAUCAUACUGUACAGAGGCAGCAAUUGGGUAUUGUUUCUAGUCUAAUAUUCCUGUUAUACUAACAUUUGUUACUAACAGACCUUGUAUGACAGCCGACAAUACAAUGGAACUAUUUUAUAUUUAAUGUGACAUUUUUAAUUGUUGGAGAAAAAACUUUAAUCAGUAUAAAUAUUUGCUAAAUUCUUUCUUAUUCAAAGUCUUUGCUUAUACACAGCUUCAGUUGGUACUGUCUGAUUAUUAUAUUGAUGUCAACUUAAAAUUUAUCCCAAUAAGCACAGUUACUAAGAGUUUGCACUGUUUAAGGAAAAUUAAGUAAAUAUGAAUUUAAAUUAAAACCUAGGAUUGAAUUAUAGGCUGAAGGUGCAGUCACCCUUCCCCAGUACCAUUCAUAUAACUUGAUUUGAUAAACCUAUCAAAUGAUAUUUUAAAAGAGUCCAUCUCGUGCCUAAAGCUACCUUCAAAACCAUAGCCUCACACACAAGACAUCCUAUAAAUCUUUAAAGGAGUUAGAUCCCUGGGUAUAUUUGCCUGCCUGCCUGUCCUUGUAUGUAACUGGGAAAUACCUGGCUUAUUGCUUUUCUGCUUGAAAACCUGAACCAUUAAAAAAAAUUACACAUAUGUAUUGCUAUGGGGAAGCUCUUAAUAGCCACUCAUUUCAUUACCUGACAUGCAGAUACCUAGCUGCACAAAAUCAUGCAUCCUAGCUUUUCAUAGAUGCAAUACUGCAGGUACCUUGCUCAUGAUCAUAUAUGUUCAUCUCUCUCUGGAGCCUUAUUUCUAAAGCUCAAAUCAAAUGAGGCCAAGAAUUGCUUUAAUAUAGUCUUGCUAAAUAGACAACCCACUGGACAAACAUUAAACUUGGAGAAUAUUUAUUUAUUGUAGUAUGAGGAAGUGUAUGUGCAAGUCUUCUUGUCUGCAAACAGAACCCCUUAUUUUUCAGGGGGAUGAGUAAUGUUUACAAAAGUGGCUUACAGAGACCCAGAUUCUCCAACAAUUCCUCCGAUCAACUGAAACCUGGAUUGCAGUGGCAUCUUCUCAGCUUUUUGGGUGCCAAAGCCAAGAAUUCUGCAGGUGCCAAGCUUUGAGAUGCCCCCCUACCCACACCAGUUUUAUGAAAGUCUGUGUCAGUACUGGACAGCUUCCCGUCUGUCUUUGAAUGAUUUUGCGCGCAUGUGUGUGUGUGUGUUGUUACUUUUUCACCAGGUGCCUUAACUGAAAGGCAAGCCUAACUGGUCUGUACUCCGGUGCUAUGGUCUGGACAGUGCUGAACCUAGCUUUCCUUUUGUCUUGGCUGUUAAAGAAGUAGUACUACCUAUUUCCUUCUCUCCCAACCAAAGCUGUUCUGCAGUUUUCUAGUGGAACAGCUAGAGAUUUUGGAAUGGUGAACUAAUGAUCACUAGUCUGAAUAUUUUUCCCCAUAUCUCUAUGAAGUCUCAAUCCUGCAAACGCCAUACACACACUAGCCCUUAUAGAGCUAAAAGGUGUGAGUCCAGAGAUACCCCUGUUACCUGGCAUAGUAUGCUCUUGCUGCCAGGCUGAGAUAAUGGUGAAGGAAGAAGGUAAGAGGUCCUCUCGAAAAAGCAAAAAGUCUGAGGUCUUUAACCGUUCCUCCUCUCCUAAAAGAGAGCCAAUGCUGCAGGAAAACAUUUGCUCAUCGUGCUGCUUAAGCCAGCACACUUGAAUGAUAUUCUUCCUGGAAGUGCUUACUGCUAGCUGGAGCUGUGCUGUGUGUUCACUGUAUCCUAUCAGUAUCCACCAAUCCAUUGCGAGUGCCUUCAGAGCUGUCUGUUAAGAUAGUUCAAAAGCCUGCUUUUCCCAAUAGGGGUUGGAGAGUGUGUGUACAAGUGCUUUCUGGGAUAGCCUGGCAUUGCUGUUCUAGUUUCUUCAAAGACAGUAAGAAAUAAAAUAUUUUGUUGUUGUUUCUUGCUGCCCAUUUGUUCAAGAGGCAAAUACUGCUCUUCCAAGUUUCUGGCUAAAAAAAAUCCUAUGCUAGUGUGUCUCCCUACAGAAGGCAGAACCAGGAGCACCACCCCAUCUUUCCUUUACCGCCAAAUUGUAGAUCUGUAUUAAUUUGUCUUGACAUAGAUUUGAGACAUCAGAAUCCUGAGUGCAUUUCUUAAUUAAAAUAUGAAUAAUGGCAAUUGAAGGUGCCACAAUGUGAAAGAGUCAACUAAGCUUCAGUCCACUGAGGGUAAAUUAGAGGUACACAUGACAGCUCUAAGGCAGAUAGGGGGCUGGAAUGGAAUGCACCUCUGUAAACUAUUACUGGGCUAAGUUCAAGGUGUUGGUUUUGGUAUAUAAAGUCCUUUAUAGCAUGGGACCAGGAUACGUGAAAUAUUAUACCCUGUAUAUACCCAAUCACUGUGCUCUGUGGGUGAGGACCUCCUGCAGACCCCAGCUUAUGGGAUGCCCUCCCCAGAGAGGUUUGCCUGGCACCAACACUCCAUGAUUUUUUAGUUGUAGGUGAAGAAGCCCUUCCUGUUGUCACAGGACUUUUAAUGACAAUCUAUCAGGUGCUCUAAUUUUUCUACCAAGCUCUCUUUUGCUGUGUUUGAUGCCAUGUUUAAAUUGUUUUGGCUACUGUGUUUUGUUGGUUUUAGUUUUUUUGUUGUUGUUUUUUUGUUUAGCUUCCUGCUUUGUAAAUUUUCUUUAUUAAAUAUUAAAAGUGUUAUUUUAUUGUAAAUUCUAUUUUGGUAUUUUAUUGUCUAUGUAAACUACAUAUGAAAUGAAAAGCACAUAUAAUGGGUGUUCCAUAAAUAAAUAAAUAUUUUUUUU